GAUGAACGCUGGCGGCGUGCCUAAUACAUGCAAGUCGAGCGAACGGACGAGAAGCUUGCUUCUCUGAUGUUAGCGGCGGACGGGUGAGUAACACGUGGAUAACCUACCUAUAAGACUGGGAUAACUUCGGGAAACCGUAGCUAAUACCGGAUAAUAUUUUGAACCGCAUGGUUCAAAAGUGAAAGACGGUCUUGCUGUCACUUAUAGAUGGAUCCGCGCUGCAUUAGCUAGUUGGUAAGGUAACGGCUUACCAAGGCAACGAUGCAUAGCCGACCUGAGGGGGGGAACGGCCCAUCGGGAAAUGGAGCCCGGCCUAGAACCCUACGGGAGGCGAGAGAAGGGAAUCUACCGCAAGGGGCGAAGGCCUGACGGAGCAACGGCGCGGGAGUGAGGAAGGUCUGCGGUUCGUAAAACGUUUUUUUAAGGAAAGAACAUUUGUGAAAAUAAUUUGCGAAGUCUUGCCGGGACCUAAACAGAAACCCCCGGUAAACUCCUU
rnacentral:rRNA from 1 species